AAUUGGGGACUGGUAUGAAAGGUUGAACAAGAAGUCAGCUGUCUCUAAAUUAAAUCUUGAACUUAACAUUUAAGUGAAAAGGCUUAAAUAUUUUAGGGGGACGAUAAGACCCUAUAAAUCUUUAUACUCGGCUUUAUUGAGCAAAAUACUAGAAUAAUUUUUGUUCGAUAGGUUUGAGUAUUUUGUUGGGGCGACAGGAGUAUAAAAUGUAACUGCUUUAAAAUAAUAGUUAAUUGAUGUUUAGUUAAGCGAUCCUUUAAUAAAGAUGUUAGUUUAAGUUACUUUAGGGAUAACAGCGUAAUUUUUUUUGAGAGUUCAUAUCGAAAAAAAAGUUUGCGACCUCGAUGUUGAAUUAAAGAUCCUUUAUGGUGCAGAAGUUAUAAAAGGAGGUCUGUUCGAC
rnacentral:rRNA from 1 species